GCACUAAAGCAAAGCUUAGCUGACAAAAGGGAGCCUGAUUAAUACACAACACAACAUCUUGUUUUAACGAAAAUAACAGGGAAUUUACAACAAUUUGUAUUUUCUUUGUGUUGCAGCACUCCUUAGCAUGGAAAUCAUUGUGACGGCAAAAAUGAUAUCUGGGAAGAACCUAGCUGUUUCCAGUGGAAGUGUUUCCGCUGAAGAAUUUAACAACCACACUGGACUCAAGGUUUAUGAUGAGGGCAGCAAGUGUCUUCAUGCUCUCCGAUCUCAGCAGGAUUCACAAGUUCAGAAGUGUGUUACUGAGAUGUAAGCCAGUGAGGUGGAACGGCUGCUGAGAAGUGCUACAAUAUACAGUCACCCAGAACACCAAAGCUACCUGCAAGAUUACAGUAAAUACGAUGAGCCCAGCCAUUACAAUCAUCAAGAUGACACACCCAGGAAGGACAUUAUGAAAACUUUGUCCACAGAGGCAGCUUGGCAAAGAAAGAUGUUAACUGCAGGGAAAACUGGCAAAGAUGACCACAUGAUGAGCACAGCCAAUUCUCAAGAACCCAUUGGGAGUUAGGUCAUCACUAUAGCAACCAGAUAGAUUACCACUACAGUUCAUGUCAAAUGAGAAAUUGUCACAGUAUUGUACAAGAUCGACCUUCUAGUCCCCACUCUGGCAGGUUCAGAAGAAGCUGUAGGAUAAAUAACAGCAGAUCCAAUGGCUACCCUUAUCCCCAAUCACAUGACCAGAAUGAAGUGACAGCCUGUCCAACGGAACUGUGCCAUGUUGCAGCCAGAUUUUUUCCUUCUGUUGAUGAGGACAAAGUUUACUGCUGCUAUACAUCAAACAUUCAAACAGAGAAAAGCAACAGCCAUUGCACUGUUCUGUACAGCAACCCCGCCCACUGCAACAGGGUGCCCUCUCCUAUCUGCGCAGAUGACAAUCCUUACACCAUACUUCACACCGUAGAAAGCUCUGAGCCAAUCACAGCCAUCUUUCUAGGUUUGCAUACAGCAUUGGAUGAUAGCAGUCAGGUACAGGAGUUUCAUGGUUCCCUUAAGGCCGAACUAGUUGCUAUUGAGGAAGACCAUGGUGAGAUCGGCUGCAUGAAGGAAGUGAAGAAGUGUAACCAGGUUCCAGCAGGAAGCUCAACCAAAAGAAACCAAGAGAGAGGGGUGGGACUAAGUUUCAGAAACGUGAAAGAAAAACAGAAGCCAUGCUGUACAAUCUGCUGACUGGUCAAAUGUGUGGCACUUGCUCAACAGUUAUAUGUCUGAAGCUGCUGAACAAAUGAUUACUUAAUUUAGAUAGUUUGGAAUGUGGCUUGGGCUUGUUAUGGUUCACCCUUUAUAAAACAACGUACCACAGUCA